UACGUAGGGUGCAAGCGUUGUCCGGAAUUAUUGGGCGUAAAGAGCUCGUAGGCGGUUCGUCGCGUCUGCUGUGAAAACUCGGGGCUUAACUCCGGGCCUGCAGUGGGUACGGGCUGACUAGAGUGCGGUAGGGGAGACUGGAAUUCCUGGUGUAGCGGUGAAAUGCGCAGAUAUCAGGAGGAACACCGGUGGCGAAGGCGGGUCUCUGGGCCGUAACUGACGCUGAGGAGCGAAAGCGUGGGGAGCGAACAGG
rnacentral:rRNA from 1 species